rnacentral:rRNA from 1 species
GUACUACUCUCAGAGUUUGAUCCUGGCUCAGGAUGAACGCUGGCGGCGUGCCUAACACAUUCAAGUCGAACGAGGUAGCAAUACCUAGUGGCGGACGGGUGAGUAACGCGUGAGUAACCUGCCCUUGCGUGGGGGAUACCGUUUGGAAACGAACGUUAAUACCGCAUAAUGUAAUGAGAUCGCAUGGUUUUAUUACCAAAGAUUUAUUGCGCAAGGAUGGGCUCGCGUCUGAUUAGAUAGUUGGUGAGGUAAUGGCUCACCAAGUCUACGAUCGGUAGCCGGACUGAGAGGUUGAACGGCCACAUUGGAACUGAGAUACGGUCCAG